rnacentral:rRNA from 1 species
UACGGGGGGGGCAAGCGUUGUUCGGAAUUACUGGGCGUAAAGGGCUCGUAGGCGGCCAACUAAGUCAGACGUGAAAUCCCUCGGCUUAACCGGGGAACUGCGUCUGAUACUGGAUGGCUUGAGUUCGGGAGAGGGAUGUGGAAUUCCAGGUGUAGCGGUGAAAUGCGUAGAUAUCUGGAGGAACACCGGUGGCGAAGGCGGCAUCCUGGACCGACACUGACCGCUGAUGAGCGAAAGCCAGGGAG